CACAGUUCAACCCUGCUAUGAAGAAGUAGGCCUAAAUAAUAAACGCAUCAGUUCAUCACUUCAGCUGCCAUGUCGUCAUCAUCCCAUACCACCUGAUUACCUGAUUACGUGGAUCCAGUACCAGCUUGAACAAAAGCAUACUGAGUUCACCUGCCCAAGAUGUGGUGCUGGCAUAUCAUAUCAAAGACUGUGUGAGCUGGUCCAUCUCAAGCCAGAGAAGCAACAGUAUUUUGAAGAAACUAUUGCAACUCUCACUGCCUCGAAACUAUGUGAUUACAAAAAUUGCCCAGGUUGCCAGUCCAAUGUGGAGAGAGCAGACCUGGAACAACUUGUGUGUGCUAUGCUCCAUUUGCUCCUCCAAGAUGGGCCACACAUAUCAGUUCUGCUGGCAGUGCCAAAGGGAAUGGAAAGGGCCGUACAUCAAUGGCAAACAUUGUGCAAAUUUGGGCUGUGGACAG